AUGGGGAUAGGAUGUGUUGCAUCGCGAGUAUGCUUGGCCAAAUGGCAGAUAGAAAAUUGGGAGGGAAUAAAAAGAUUGAGUCGAUACGGAAAUGCUUCAGGGGAGAAGUUCCCUCUCCAAGUGGAGGUACUGCUCCGCGUUUUACGCAAUCUGAAUGAGACAAGUUGGUUCCGGAUGAACGCGAGCUGCUCAAGGAUAAUGCCCCUGCUCCAAAUCCUGAGGAGGAGGACCUGGCUCCCCGUGUCGCUGGUGGUGGUAAGGGGACCCCCUUCUCUAGUGUUUGCUCCAAUGUGCCUACUCGCCCGCAGUCCCCGUCCUUCUCUGGGAUUGAGGAUCUUCCCGCUUCCUUCAUGCGCUCCAUCGAGCCCUUAA
rnacentral:rRNA from 1 species